rnacentral:rRNA from 1 species
UAGUCCACGCGGUAAACGAUGAGCACUAGUUAUAAGAGGUAUUGACUCCUUUUGUAACGCAGCUAACGCAUUAAGUGCUCCGCCUGGGGAGUACGGUCGCAAGACUAAAACUCAAAGGAAUUGACGGGGGCCCGCACAAGCGGUGGAUCAUGUGGUUUAAUUCGAAGCAACGCGAAAAACCUUACCUGGGCUUGAAAUCCUACGAAUCUUCUAGAGAUAGAAGAGUGCUCCUUGGAGAAUGUAGUGACAGGUGCUGCAUGGCUGUCGUCAGCUCGUGUUGUGAAAUGUUGGGUUAAGUCUCGCAACGAGCGCAACCCCUAUUGUUAGUUGCCAGCAUUAAGUUGGGCACUCUAGCAAGACUGCCAGGGUUAACCUGGAGGAAGGUGGGGAUGACGUCAAGUCCUCAUGGCCCUUAUGUCCAGGGCUACACACGUGAUACAAUGGUGCAUACAAUGGGACGCUAAGCCGCGAGGUGGAGCUAAUCUCAAAAAGUGCAUCU